rnacentral:tmRNA from 1 species
GGGGGCGAACUGGUCUCGACGGGGGAGAUGGGCGUACCGGUUGCGUGUCGAGCAAUGUCACCAGAGCUCGUUAAUCUUCGUGACAAACCUGUAAGUGUCGACAAUAACGUCGCACUGGCUGCCUAACUAGCUAAGCUAGGGUAGGCUCCCGUCCCCACCGGCUGGGUCUCCAGGGCCGGUGAGUGGGCGUCAUAUCCUGGGGGCUGGCGUGGCGGCACCGCUCGGGGCCAAAGCGCGAGAACCUACCGGGCUGGUCUCCGAUGCAUUGUGUUCGCGGUGGGCACGGAGAUGAGAUUACAUCGCGGACUACACACGUAGUAACCGUUGCGGCUGCUUCUUCGGACGCGGGUUCGAUUCCCGCCGCCUCCACCA